rnacentral:rRNA from 1 species
GUAGGUGGCAAGCGUUGUCCGGAAUUAUUGGGCGUAAAGCGCGCGCAGGCGGUUCUUUAAGUCUGAUGUGAAAGCCCACGGCUCAACCGUGGAGGGUCAUUGGAAACUGGAGAACUUGAGUACAGAAGAGGACAGCGGAAUUCCACGUGUAGCGGUGAAAUGCGUAGAGAUGUGGAGGAACACCAGUGGCGAAGGCGGCUUUCUGGUCUGUAACUGACGCUGAGGCGCGAAAGCGUGGGGAGCAAACAGGAUUAGAUACCCUGGUAGUCCACGCCGUAAACGAUGAGUGCUAAGUGUUAGGGGGGUUUCCGCCCCCCUUAGUGCUGCAGCUAACGCAUUAAGCACUCCGCCUGGGAGUACGGCCGCAAGGCUG